GACUUAUCAACCACAUCAGAUGUUUUGAUGUGGCUUGGAUGUGGGGGUUUCUUUUUGCCGGCUUUUUCUUUUACAGAAGGUCAGCUCCCCUGAAAUGUAUUAGUGGUAUCUGAGCUACUGCUAUCGGUGUGAUAAUUAUCUAUGCCUUUGGUAUGCUGCAUGAACAGAUUGCACUGCUUAUAACAAUUGAAUUUGACAA
rnacentral:misc_RNA from 1 species